CACCGCGGUUAUACGAUAGGCCCAAGUUGACAGAAAACGGCGUAAAGAGUGGUUAAGGAAUUCAACUAACUAAAGCCGAGAACCUUCAGAGCCGUUUAAAGCAUCCGAAGACAAUAAGCCCCACCACGAAAGUGGCUUUAAUUUUCCUGAACCCACGAAAGCUAAGGCA
rnacentral:rRNA from 1 species